CUACGGGCGGCUCCAGUGGGGAAUUUUGGACAAUGGGCGAAAGCCUGAUCCAGCAAUACCGCGUGCAGGAAGAAGGCCUUCGGGUUGUAAACUGCUUUUGUACGGAACGAAACGGCGUGCUCUAAUAAAGUGCGCUAAUGACGGUACCGUAAGAAUAAGCACCGGCAAACUACGUGCCAGCAGCCGCGGUAAUACGUAGGGUGCAAGCGUUAAUCGGAAUUACUGGGCGUAAAGCGUGCGCAGGCGGUUUUGUAAGACAGGCGUGAAAUCCCCGGGCUCAACCUGGGAAUUGCGCUUGUGACUGCAAGGCUAGAGUACGGUAGAGGGGGGUAGAAUUCCGCGUGUAGCAGUGAAAUGCGUAGAUAUGCGGAGGAACACCGAUGGCGAAGGCAGCCCCCUGGACCUGUACUGACGCUCAUGCACGAAAGCGUGGGGAGCAAACAGGAUUAGAUACCCCGGUAGUC
rnacentral:rRNA from 1 species